rnacentral:lncRNA from 1 species
CCUGACCCACACCUGUGCCCCAUGUCCCCCUGACCCACACCUGUGUCCCCAUGGCCCUGUGACCCACACCUGGUGUCCCCCUGUCCCCAUGUCCCUAUGACCCACACCUGGUGUCCCCAUGUCCCACACCCGUGGCCCCAUGUCCCCAUGUCCCUAUGACCCACACCUCUGUCCCCAUGUCCUCAUGACCCACACCUGUGUCUCCACAUCUCUGUGACCCACACCUGUGGCCCCAUGUUGCUCUGACCCACAUGUGUGUCCCCAUGUCCCCGUGACCCACACCUGGUGUCCCCAUGGCCCCAUGACCCACUGACCCACACCUGCAUCCCCAUGUCCCCAUGUCCCCCUGACCCACACUUGGUGUCCCCAAGUCCCCCUGACCCACACCUGUGUCCCCAUGUCCCCAUGUCCCCAAUCCAACGUCCCCAUGUCCCCAAGACCCAAACCCAAUGUCCCCAUGUCCCCAACCCAACAUCCCCAUGACACAAACCCAACAUCCUCAUGUCCCCAUGUCUCCAACCCAACGUCCCCACGUCCCAAACCCAACAUCCCCCUAUUCUAAACCCAACAUCCCCAUAACGCAAUGUCCCCAUGUCCCCAACCCAACGUCCCCAUGUCCCCAAUCCAACGUCCCCAUGUCCCCAAGACCCAAACCCAACGUUCCCCUAUUCUAAACCCAACGUCCCCAUAACACAAUGACCCCAUGUCCCCAACCCAACGUCCCCAUGUCCCCAUGUCCCCAUGUCUCCAUGUCCCCAACCCAACGUCCCCAUGUCCCCAUGACCCCAACCCAACAUCCCCAUGUCCCCAACCCAACGUCCCCAUGUCCCCAUGUCCCCAACCCAAUGUCCCCAUGUCCCAAACCCAACGUCCCCAUGUCCCCAUGUCCCCAACCCAACGUCCCCAGAACGCAACGUCCCCAUGACCCCAACCCAACGUCCCCAUGUCCCAAACCCAACAUCCCCAUAACGCAACAUCCCCAUGUCCCCAACCCAACGUCCCCAUGUCCCAAACCCAACAUCCCCAUAACGCAACGUCCCCAUGUCCCAAAUCCAACGUCCCCACGUCCCAAACCCAACGUCCCCAUGUCCCCAUGUCCCAAACCCAACGUCCUCAUGUCCCCAUGUCCCAAACCCAACGUCCCCAUGUCCCCAACCCAACGUCCCCAGAACGCAACGUCUCCAUGACCCAAACCCAACGUCCCCAGAACGCAACGUCCCCAUGUCCCCAACCCAACGUCCCCAUGUCCCCAUGUCCCCAACCCAACGUCCCCAUGUCCCCAUGACCCAAACCCAACAUCCCCAUGUCCCCAUGUCCCAAACCCAACGUCCCCAUGACCCCAACCCAACGUCCCCAUGUCCCCAUGUCCCAAACCCAACGUCCCCACGUCCCAAACCCAAUGUCCCCACGUCCCAAACCCAACGUCCCCAUGUCCCCAACCCAACGUC